rnacentral:rRNA from 1 species
UACGGAGGGGGCGAGCGUUGUUCGGAAUUAUUGGGCGUAAAGCGCACGUAGGCGGCUUCUUAAGUCAGGGGUGAAAUCCUGGAGCUCAACUCCAGAACUGCCUUUGAUACUGAGAAGCUUGAGUCCGGGAGAGGUGAGUGGAACUGCGAGUGUAGAGGUGAAAUUCGUAGAUAUUCGCAAGAACACCAGUGGCGAAGGCGGCUCACUGGCCCGGUACUGACGCUGAGGUGCGAAAGCGUGGGGAGCAAACAGG